rnacentral:pre_miRNA from 1 species
AGAUCGGGUCCUCGCAGUACCAAAGUGCUCAUAGUGCAGGUAGUUUCGGCUUUACUCUACUGUAGUGUGGGCACUUCCAGUACUCUUGGACGACGAGGCUCUCGGAGAUGGAG